AAAUACCUGGGUGACUAAUGACUUUGCACAGCUCAGCUGGCUUUUCUGAACAUUUCAUGGGACGUCUCUCCAGGGGAAACAACCUGAAAAUGUUUCAGGACUCCGGGUGGCAUUGAAGGGCCAGAGAGGGGUGUUUAGUGCACGCUGUUGGCUGGCUGGUUUUGUGGGUUUUGUUCACCGUCUACCGGGCAGAGAGCCUUUCUGCCGAUGUCGCCAGAUGCCUCUCUCCAAGCGAAAUGACCCAUUUGCAUGCGUGGUGCAGACAUUUUCCGGAGCUCCAGGGCUCCCAGGCCUCCCCAGGCCUCCGAUUGUAAAGGAUCGUAGGGCCACCCCUUUCCUUGUUCACAUGGACAGCGCCUAAGAGGAUUUAGAAUCAAGUGGGCACAUUUGCACUGCCUUGUUCUGAAGAGGCAGCUGGAGCGCGGACUGGCCUGGCGCAACCCACCGCGGGUCCCGGGGGACCGCAUUGUCUCGGAGGGGCCGCCACAGGGGCUCCAUUGUGAGCGGGGCCGGCCUUUUUCUCCUGCCCUCUGUCUCCCCGGGCCUCCCCUCAUCCCCCCCACCCCCCCUCCACGCAGACUUUUCUCUCAAGCUGCCGGCACCCCCGGCUGCCGCAUUUCCAAUGCAGGGGAGCGGCGAGGCUCCGGGCUGGCCAUCUGCACGCGGAGAUUGACAGCAGUCCCGGAAGAGGCGGUGGACCAGGGAUACAAGAAACGAGACUCCUAGCCCUUGAGAUGCUCUUCAUGUGGGGUCAUUACUUAGGGAUCAGCAAUUUGCUAAAGAUGAACAGAUUCUAAGAAGAUGGUUUUCCAGCAGCAACCAAUUUUAAAUCUGGACUGUGCACCAGGCACCUCUUGGAUGGACAGCCCUGAAACAUCUUUCAUGCAACUCCUCAGGCAGCCCAGAAACAGCCAGGAACCAUUCGCCAGGAGCUGUGGCCAACUUAAUAACUCAUCCUUGUAUUGGUUUCCAUCCUCUGUCCUUCAUCCGUCUUGUCUUUUACUCCUACUUGCUGGAUCACACAUCCCAAUAAAUUUUUGCACUCAAGCGUUUGUCUCAGGAUCUGCUGUCCGGAGGACCAAGACUAAGUUCAAGUCAUAUUUUUUUUUUUUUGAGAUGGAAUCUCACUCUGUUGCCCAGGCUGGAGUGCAGCGGCAUGAUUUUGAUUCACUGCAACGUCCACCUCCCGGGUUCAAGUGAUUGUCCUGCCUCAGCCUCAUGAGUAGCUGGGAUUACAGGUGCACGCCACCACACCUGGCUAAUUUUUGUAUUUUUAGUAGAGACAGGGUUUCACCAUGU
rnacentral:lncRNA from 10 species